CAUAGACAGCAUAAAAACACAGUCCCGGUUGGUAGUCCGGGCGCACUAUGAAAGAGUGUCAGUAUCCUUCCCCUCCUUGGGAUGUCCAUCGCUGUCGUUACGUUU
rnacentral:ncRNA from 1 species